rnacentral:lncRNA from 1 species
UUGAGGAGAGGCGCUUUCAAGACGAUGCUGCACAUCCAAUGAAGAGAGGCUAUCUUCUAGCAACACCUUAGUAACUUGGGAUUCUGCCUCCAUCCCUAAUAGAGUUUUAGAUGAAAAACGAUCUUGCGAAUGUAACUUAUAAUCAAAUAACUUUGCUUCCUUUAAUUUUCUGCAAGGUUGAGAUGACCUCAUCAGACCUCCAGUGAUGGAUCCUUCAAUCCUCAUACACUU